rnacentral:rRNA from 1 species
AGAGUUUGAUCAUGGCUCAGGACGAACGCUGGCGGCGUGCUUAACACAUGCAAGUCGAGCGAUGAAACACCUUCGGGUGUGAAUUAGCGGCGAACGGGUGAGGAACACGUGAAGAAUCUGCCUUCAACUCUGGGAUAACUCCGGGAAACCGGGGCUAAUACCGGAUAUGAGCCUCGAUCGCAUGAUUGGGGCUGGAAAGUUUUUCGGUUGAAGAUGACUUCGCGGCCUAUCAGCUUGUUGGUGAGGUAAUGGCUCACCAAGGCGACGACGGGUAGCCGGCCUGAGAGGGCGACCGGCCACACUGGGACUGAGACACGGCCCAGACUCCUACGGGAGGCAGCAGUGGGGAAUAUUGGGCAAUGGAGGAAACUCUGACCCAGCGACGCCGCGUGAGGGAUGAAGGCCUUCGGGUUGUGAACCUCUUUCAGUAGGGAAGAAGCGAAAGUGACGGUACCUACAGAAGAAGCACCGGCUAACUAUGUGCCAGCAGCCGCGGUAAUACAUAGGGUGCAAGCGUUGUCCGGAAUUAUUGGGCGUAAAGAGCUCGUAGGUGGUUCGAUACGUCGGAUGUGAAAAUCAGGGGCUCAACCCCUGACCUGCAUCCGAUACGGUCGAGCUAGAGUUUGGUAGGGGAGACUGGAAUUCCUGGUGUAGCGGUGGAAUGCGCAGAUAUCAGGAGGAACACCGAUGGCGAAGGCAGGUCUCUGGGCCAAUACUGACACUGAGGAGCGAAAGCGUNNNNNNNCGAACAGGAUUAGAUACCCUGGUAGUCCACGCCGUAAACGGUGGGCGCUAGUUGUGCGAACCUUCCACG